UACGUAGGGCGCAAGCGUUGUCCGGAAUUAUUGGGCGUAAAGAGCUCGUAGGUGGCUUGUCACGUCGGGUGUGAAAGCUUGGGGCUUAACUCCAGGUCUGCAUUCGAUACGGGCUGGCUAGAGGUAGGUAGGGGAGAACGGAAUUCCUGGUGUAGCGGUGAAAUGCGCAGAUAUCAGGAGGAACACCGGUGGCGAAGGCGGUUCUCUGGGCCUUACCUGACGCUGAGGUGCGAAAGCGUGGGGAGCAAACAGG
rnacentral:rRNA from 1 species